rnacentral:rRNA from 1 species
GAUGAACGCUGGCGGUAUGCUUAACACAUGCAAGUCGAACGGACUCUUCGGAGUUAGUGGCGGACGGGUGAGUAACGCGUGAGAAUCUGGCUUUGGGUUCGGGACAACCACUGGAAACGGUGGCUAAUACCGGAUGUGCCGAGAGGUAAAAGAGAAAUUGCCUGAAGAUGAGCUCGCGUCUGAUUAGCUAGUUGGUGAGGUAAAGGCUCACCAAGGCAGCGAUCAGUAGCUGGUCUGAGAGGAUGACCAGCCACACUGGGACUGAGACACGGCCCAGACUCCUACGGGAGGCAGCAGUGGGGAAUUUUCCGCAAUGAGCGAAAGCCUGACGGAGCAAUACCGCGUGAGGGAAGAAGGCUCUUGGGUUGUAAACCUCUUUUCUUAGGGAAGAACAAAAUGACGGUACCUAAGGAAUCAGCAUCGGCUAACUCCGUG